UCGCUACUUCCGAUUUCGAGUGGUCCGGUGAGCCUUUCGGACCGAGAGCAGCCCCGUGCUGCGCUUGGGAAGUCAAGCAAACCACAUCACUUAGAGGAAGUAA
rnacentral:rRNA from 1 species